UCCGUAGGGGGCAAGCGUUGUCCGGAUUUAUUGGGCGUAAAGGGCUCGUAGGCGGUCUGUUGCGUCGGGAGUGAAAACUCAGGGCUUAACCCUGAGCCUGCUUCCGAUACGGGCAGACUAGAGGUAUGCAGGGGAGAACGGAAUUCCUGGUGUAGCGGUGAAAUGCGCAGAUAUCAGGAGGAACACCGGUGGCGAAGGCGGUUCUCUGGGCAUUACCUGACGCUGAGGAGCGAAAGUGUGGGGAGCGAACAGG
rnacentral:rRNA from 1 species